UCGUCGUAUGUUAUUAUGUGUCAUACGAGACUGCCGGUAAAAAGCCGAGGAAGGUGAGGAUGAUCGUCAAGUCAGCAUGACCUUUAUAUCCAGGGCUACACACACGCUACAAUGGUCUGUACAAUGGGUAGCCAAGCCGCGAGGCGGAGCCAAUCCUGAAAGCAGGCCUCAGUUCAGAUUGCAGUCUGCAACUCGACUGCAUGAAGCCGGAGUUGCUAGUAACCGCAGGUCAGCAAUACUGCGGUGAAUACGUUCCCGGGUCUU
rnacentral:rRNA from 1 species